AGCGAGUUUCAGUAUAGACCUGACCCUCAGGCAAACUUACGUUAUAGGGAAAGAUCCGUUAGAGACUUUCCUUGACGUCAUAAUAAGGGUAGCCGAGCAGAGCUACGCCUUCAAGACCGGAGCGAGUUUCAGUAUAGACCUGACCCUCAGGCAAACUUACGUUAUAGGGAAAGAUCCGUUAGAUACUUUCCUUGACGUCAUAAUAAGGGUAGCCGAGCUGAGCUACACCUUCAAGACCUGGGCGAGUUUCAGUAUAGACCUGACCCUCAGGCAAACUUACGUUAUAGGGAAAAAUCCGUUAGAGACUUUUCUUGACGUCAUAAUAAGGAUAGCCGAGCAGAGCUACGCCUUCAAGAGUACAAAGUAAUAAUAGUCAA
rnacentral:lncRNA from 1 species